rnacentral:rRNA from 1 species
AUUGAACGCUGGCGGCAUGCCUUACACAUGCAAGUCGAACGGUAACAGGUCUUCGGAUGCUGACGAGUGGCGAACGGGUGAGUAAUACAUCGGAACGUGCCUAGUAGUGGGGGAUAACUACUCGAAAGAGUGGCUAAUACCGCAUGAGAUCUACGGAUGAAAGCAGGGGAUCGCACGCACUUGUGCUACUAGAGCGGCCGAUGGCAGAUUAGGUAGUUGGUGGGAUAAAAGCUUACCAAGCCGACGAUCUGUAGCUGGUCUGAGAGGACGAGCAGCCACACUGGGACUGAGACACGGCCCAGACUCCUACGGGAGGCAGCAGUGGGGAAUUUUGGACAAUGGGCGCAAGCCUGAUCCAGCAAUGCCGCGUGCAGGAUGAAGGCCUUCGGGUUGUAAACUGCUUUUGUACGGAACGAAAAGCCCUGGGUUAAUACCCUGGGGUCAUGACGGUACCGUAAGAAUAAGCACCGGCUAACUACGUGCCAGCCGCCGCCGUAAAAC